rnacentral:rRNA from 1 species
GACGAACGCUGGCGGCGCGCCUAACACAUGCAAGUCGAACGGAGCUGCGAGAAGCUUGCUUUUCUUAGCUUAGUGGCGAACGGGUGAGUAACGCGUGAGUAACCUGCCCUGGGGUGGGGGACAACAGUUGGAAACGACUGCUAAUACCGCAUAAGCCCACGAUCCGGCAUCGGAUUGAGGGAAAAGGAUUUAUUCGCUUCAGGAUGGACUCGCGUCCAAUUAGCUAGUUGGUGAGGUAACGGCCCACCAAGGCGACGAUUGGUAGCCGGACUGAGAGGUUGAACGGCCACAUUGGGACUGAGACACGGCCCAGACUCCUACGGGAGGCAGCAGUGGGGGAUAUUGCACAAUGGGGGAAACCCUGAUGCAGCGACGCCGCGUGGAGGAAGAAGGUUUUCGGAUUGUAAACUCCUGUCGUUAGGGACGAUAAUGACGGUACCUAACAAGAAAGCACCGGCUAACUACGUG